rnacentral:rRNA from 1 species
UGAGGAAGUAAAAGUCGUAACAAGGUUUCCGUAGGUGAACCUGCGGAAGGAUCAUUAUCGAGUUAGGGUCCUCUGGGCCCCAUCUCCAACCCUUGUCUAUCUUACCCCGUUGCUUUGGCGGGCCCGUCUUUAAUCGGACCGCUGGAGACCUUUGAUCUCUAGCCCGCGCCCGCCAGUAGCCCCUAAAAUUCUUGUAACAGUGUUGUCUAAAUUUAAAAUUAAUAACCAAAACUUUCAACAACGGAUCUCUUGGUUCUGGCAUCGAUGAAGAACGCAGCGAAAUGCGAUAAGUAAUGCGAAUUGCAGAAUUCCGUGAGUCAUCGAAUCUUUGAACGCACAUUGCGCCCUUUGGUAUUCCGAAGGGCAUGCCUGUUCGAGCGUCAUUAUCACACCUCAAGCCCGGCUUGCUGUUGGGUCUCACACCGCACUACCGCGGUGGACCCGAAAGAUAAUGGCAGAGCCCCUAAGGAGGCCUGGAUGCAGCGAGCUCUCUAGCACGCGUCCCGGCGAUCUUCGGGCUCGGCCUCAACCACAUUUUUUCUUCAGGUUGACCUCGGAUCAGGUAGGGAUACCCGCUGAACUUA